rnacentral:lncRNA from 1 species
CUGAGAGAAAGGGAAGUCACUUCUCCCCAAGUUCAUACAAGAUCUAGCAAUGAAGCCGAAUAUGGCGAGAAGGAAGUAGACAAUGAAGAAGAAGAUGAAGAGGAGGAAGAAGGAGAUGGAGUGUACAUAAUUGAGGAAGUAGGCAGUGAAGCCGAAGGUGGCGAGAAGGAAGUAGAAAAUGAAGAAGAAGAAGAGGAGCAAGAUGGAGAUGGCGUGUACAUAAUUGAGGAAGAAGCAUUGCAGAUAAUAAGAGUGGUUGCUGAUGACCACAAGUCGGAGAGCAUGAAGAGUGCGUGUGA